rnacentral:rRNA from 1 species
AUUGAACGCUGGCGGCAGGCUUAACAUAUGCAAGUCGAGCGGAGAUGAGGUGCUUGCACCUUAUCUUAGCGGCGGACGGGUGAGUAAUGCUUAGGAAUCUGCCUAUUAGUGGGGGACAACAUUCCGAAAGGAAUGCUAAUACCGCAUACGUCCUACGGGAGAAAGCAGGGGAUCUUCGGACCUUGCGCUAAUAGAUGAGCCUAAGUCGGAUUAGCUAGUUGGUGGGGUAAAGGCCUACCAAGGCGACGAUCUGUAGCGGGUCUGAGAGGAUGAUCCGCCACACGGGGAGUGAGACACGGCCCAGACGCCUACGGGAGGCAGCAGUGGGGAAUAUUGGACAAUGGGGGAAACCCUGAUCCAGCCAUGCCGCGUGUGUGAAGAAGGCCUUAUGGUUGUAAAGCACUUUAAGCGAGGAGGAGGCUACUGAGACUAAUACUCUUGGAUAGUGGACGUUACUCGCAGAAUAAGCACCGGCUAACUCUGUGCCAGCCGCCGCAGUAACAC